AAGUGAGUCUUGCGGCCAGAAUGAUAACUGCUUAUCCAGGUUUGGUGUCCUGUGAUGAGGUAACAUAUCUAAGAUCCAUGCUACCUGCUUACAACUUCAAGAAACUCCCAGAGAAAAUGAUGAAAAACAUCUCCAACCCAGGGAAGAUAUAUGAAUAUCUUGGCCACAGAAGAUGUAUAAUGUUUGGAAAAAGACAUUUGGCAAGAAAGAGAAACAAAAAUCACCCUUUGUUAGCUACCCUUCACAGGUGCUUUGGAAACCCACUUUAUUGUGAGGUCCUAUGCCAGGACCUUCUCUCUAAGGACGUGUUGCUCUUUCAUGUCCUACAAAAGGAGGAAGAGGAAAACAGCAAGUGGGAAACCCUC
rnacentral:lncRNA from 1 species